CGGGGAAGUUACCUGGUGUAUUG
rnacentral:miRNA from 1 species